AUUGAACGCUGGCGGCAGGCCUAACACAUGCAAGUCGAGCGAGCGGCGGACGGGUGAGUAAUGUAUGGGGACUGCCUGAUAGAGGGGGAUAACUACUGGAAACGGUGGCUAAUAGCGCAAACUAUGGGAUAACCCAUAGGGGAUUAGCUAGCUGGUGAGGUAAUGGCUGACCAAGGCGACGAUGCCUAGCUGGUCUGAGAGGAUGAUCGGCCACACUGGGACUGAGACACGGCCCAGACUCCUACGGAGGCAGCAGUGGUGAAUAUUGCACAAUGGGCGAAAGCCUGAUGCAGCCAUGCCGCGUGUAUGAAGAAGGCCGUAGGGUUGUAAAGUACUUUCAGUCGGGAGGCGUUACCGACAGAAGAAGCACCGGCUAACUCCGUGCCAGCAGCCGCGGUAAUUC
rnacentral:rRNA from 1 species